rnacentral:rRNA from 1 species
GACGAACGCUGGCGGCGUGCUUAACACAUGCAAGUCGAGCGGUAAGGCCCUUUCGGGGGUACACGAGUGGCAAACGGGUGAGUAACGCGUGGGUGACCUGCCUUCGAGUGGGGGAUAACGUCUCGAAAGGGACGCUAAUACCGCAUGACAUCCCGUCUUUAAAGAGAGGGUGAUCAAAGCCGGGGUCGCAAGACCUGGCGCUUGAAGAGGGGCCCGCGUCCGAUUAGCUAGUUGGUGGGGUAAUGGCUCACCAAGGCGACGAUCGGUAUCCGGCCUAAGGAGGGCGGACGGACACACGU